UACGAAGGGUGCAAGCGUUAAUCGGAAUUACUGGGCGUAAAGCGCGCGUAGGUGGUUCAGUAAGUUGGUAGUGAAAUCCCCGGGCUCAACCUGGGAACUGCUUUCAAAACUGCUGAGCUAGAGUACGGUAGAGGGUGGUGGAAUUUCCUGUGUAGCGGUGAAAUGCGUAGAUAUAGGAAGGAACACCAGUGGCGAAGGCGACCACCUGGACUGAUACUGACACUGAGGUGCGAAAGCGUGGGGAGCAACCAGG
rnacentral:rRNA from 1 species